rnacentral:rRNA from 1 species
UACGUAGGGUGCAAGCGUUAAUCGGAAUUACUGGGCGUAAAGCGUGCGCAGGCGGUUUUGUAAGUCUGACGUGAAAUCCCCGGGCUUAACCUGGGAAUUGCGUUGGAGACUGCAAGGCUGGAGUCUGGCAGAGGGGGGUAGAAUUCCACGUGUAGCAGUGAAAUGCGUAGAGAUGUGGAGGAACACCGAUGGCGAAGGCAGCCCCCUGGGUCAAGAUUGACGCUCAUGCACGAAAGCGUGGGGAGCAAACAGG